AGUCCGAGUUGUAAUUUGUAGAAGAUGCUUUGGGAGGUAGGCUCGGCCUAAGUUCCUUGGAACAGGACAUCAGAGAGGGUGAGAAUCCCGUAUGUGGCCGUGGCCUACGCCCGUGUAAAGCUCUUUCGACGAGUCGAGUUGUUUGGGAAUGCAGCUCAAAAUGGGUGGUAAAUUUCAUCUAAAGCUAAAUAUUGGCCAGAGACCGAUAGCGCACAAGUAGAGUGAUCGAAAGAUGAAAAGCACUUUGGAAAGAGAGUUAAACAGUACGUGAAAUUGUUGAAAGGGAAGCGCUUGCACCCAGACUUGGGCGUCGUCGAUCAUCCGAGGUUCUCCUCGGUGCACUCGGCGAGGCACAGGCCAGCAUCGGUUUGGAUGGUUGGAGAAAGGCUCUAGGAACGUAGCUCUCUUCGGGGAGUGUUAUAGCCUAGGGCGUCAUGCAGCCCAUCCGGACCGAGGACCGCGCCUUCGGGCUAGGAUGCUGGCGUAAUGGUUGCAAGCGACCCGUCUUGAAACACGGACCAAGGAGUCUAACAUCUAUGCGAGUGUUUGGGCGUUAAACCCAUACGCGGAAUGAAAGUGAACGUAGGUGAGAACCCGUCGGGGUGCAUCAUCGACCGAUCCUGAUGUCUUCGGAUGGAUUUGAGUACGAGCAUAGCUGUUGGGA
rnacentral:rRNA from 1 species